rnacentral:misc_RNA from 1 species
GAUUUAUGGACCUCGUGGUUCUGGUAAGACUAUUUUAGCAAGAGCAGUUGCAAAAUCCCUUGAAGAAUGUGAAGACCUUUUAGCACACACAGUGUUUGUAGGGUGCUCUGGACUUGCUCUAGAAAAAGCCUCAACCAUUCGUCAAGCACUUUCUGCUUACAUAUCUGAAGCUUUGGAUCAUGCACCUUCUCUUAUCAUCUUUGAUGAUCUUGAUAGCAUUAUUUCGUCCUCUUCUGACUCAGAAGGACAUCAAUCUUUAACCUCUGUUGUUGCUCUUACAAAAUUUCUCACAGAAAUUAUGGACGAAUAUGGGGAAAAAAGGAAGUGCUCAUGUGGAAUUGGACCGCUUGCUUUUAUAGCUUCCGUGCAGACUCUGGAGAAUAUUCCACAGUCAUUAAGCUCAUCAGGUCGGUUCGACUUUCAUGUGCAACUGCCUGCUCCUGCUGCCUCAGAACGCCAGGCUAUACUAAGGCAUGAAAUUCAGAGGCGUUCCCUUCAGUGUUCUGAACAUAUCUUGUCAGAUGUAGCUGCCAAAUGUGAUGGUUAUGAUGCAUAUGAUCUGGAAAUAUUGGUUGAUAGAACUGUACAUGCUGCAAUUGGACGCUUUCUGCCUUCUCAUUAUACUUCGGAGAAGCAUGAGGUUCCUACUUUGGUCAGGGAUGAUUUUUCUCGAGCAAUGCAUGAUUUCCUUCCUGUUGCCAUGCGUGACAUUACUAAAUCUGCUCCCGAAGGUGGUCGUGCUGGGUGGGAUGAUGUUGGUGGUCUGAAGGACAUAACAAAUGCUAUUAAAGAGAUGAUUGAAUUGCCUUCAAAGUUCCCAAAUGUAUUUGCUCAAGCUCCUUUAAGGUUGCGAUCAAAUGUUCUCUUAUAUGGUCCUCCUGGUUGUGGCAAGAC